rnacentral:piRNA from 1 species
UAGCUGAGUGUGAUCUUGAGAGCAUAGUUCUC